rnacentral:rRNA from 1 species
CGCAGUAGCAAUACUGAGUGGCAGACGGGUGAGUAUAAUGUGGGAAUCUGCCUUGUGGUUCAGGACAACAUUGGGAAACCGAUGCUAAUACUGGAUAAGCCCUUACGGGGAAAGUUUUAAUGCCAUAAGAUGAGCCCGCAUUUGAUUAGCUAGUUGGUGAGGUAAAGGCUUACCAAGACAGCGAUGGGUAGGGGCCCUGAGAGGGGGAUCCCCCACACUGGUACUGAGACACGGACCAGACUCC